AUGCUCUUUCCUUGGAAGUUGUCCAACCUGCUGAAGGUUCACCCUCUACAUGCACAUUUUGUGUUCAGUCAAAAAUCCAAGCAAACUCCCACACAGACACCUAGAACUCUCUGUUUAUCUUUUCCCUCUCUGCAAAUUCUAGCUCUCAUGGCCUUCUCACAAUUCUCUGUCUCUUUAACUCGGAGAGACUGGGGAGCUUUGUUUGGGUUCCUCUUCUGUGUUCCAAAGUCUGGAAACUGUCAACUGGCAGAAAUCUUGGAUGAAGGGACUAACACUACGACCACAGCCUCACCACGCCCCUCGUUGGAAGAAACAGGAAGGCACACCAUGCUGUAAGCUGUGGCAGAUGCUCAGGGCACGUGGGGUUGAAUAAUGGUGUUUGGAGUCAAACAUUCAGACUCCGCAUUCACAUAGUGAUUCAUUUACAGAGCUUUACUAAACUACAGGGCACUCAGAAACAGACAAACUAUUCUUGCCUCAACCGAACCAAAGGCCCGGCGGGCCUCGUGAAAGCUCAGCCAGGUGCUUUGGGAGGCUGGGAGGAGAAAGAGGGAUCCGUGGGAAGAAGCACGUUCACACCAUGGCACUGAGGCCUUUGGGCCGAGCUAUAAUUUAAAGCAUGAAACGAAGGGGUCAUAGAUUCUGACUAAUGCUGAGCCUUUCCAUGGGUUACCCGGUGGAAUCUCAUGGCGACACCCGGAAAUUGACUUUAUACAUGCUCUUUAGGAAACAAGGGACGCAGGGUGAAACAAGUCAAGAGUGUUGUCCGGGCUCGCGCCAGCGCCGUCAGACUCCCGCGAUAGAGGAGCGCCAGGGCUUGGCGUCAGCGGCUUCACGGGGAGGGAGAAAAGCCCCACUGCUGUGCAGAAGCCUAGGCCCGAGUGAGGCCCCUGCGAAGGCUGCCAGUAGCGGAAGAGAAGGGGCGUCUUCGGAGGUGCGCAGCGCUCGCCCGCGGUAGGUGGGCGCGGAGCUCAGAGCCAAACGCUAACACUGGCGACAAGCCCCAGCCCCCUCCGCCAGCCCACUCGCUGCGGGGAGGGGUUUCUCACGCCCCCGGCUCCUGGGAGACUGCACCGGAGGUCGGAAGGAAGCGGGGCGAGGAUGAGUCAUCCCGCCUAAUUCCUCCUUCCCCGUCCCCUACCCUCCGCACGCCGGCCCCCUCCAGAGAUCAUGCAGCCGCGAGCGAAGACACCCCUAUCCUCAGACUCCACCGAACCCCCUGUGGCCUGCGGAGACGAGGAGACGGACGGGUCCGGUGGCCAAUGAGAGCUUCUAUCUCUUGCCCGCUGCCCAAUGGGCCGCGGCUCCUGGGCCAGGGCGGGACUAGUAGGGCAGGAGGGGGCGGUCUGGGCUGGCGCGCGGCGCGGCGGCUCAGCGGCUGCGGCUCACAGAGCUAGCGCUUCUCCGGGUGUCCACGCCAGCACUACCCGAGAAGGCGCCGCCGCCGCCGCUGGCCAGGGUGCUGGACAAGACGGGCCCCUCGGCCACCUCGCCAGCUCAGGCACCCUCUGCAGCCGCCGCUGC
rnacentral:lncRNA from 1 species